rnacentral:rRNA from 1 species
AUGAACGCUGGCGGCGUGCCUAAUCCAUGCAAGUCGAACGAAACUUCUUUAUCACCGAGUGCUUGCACUCACCGAUAAAGAGUUGAGUGGCGAACGGGUGAGUAACACGUGGGCAACCUGCCCAAAAGAGGGGGAUAACACUUGGAAACAGGUGCUAAUACCGCAUAACCAUAGUUACCGCAUGGUAACUAUGUAAAAGGUGGCUAUACUACCGCUUUUGGAUGGGCCCGCGGCGCAUUAGCUAGUUGGUAGGGUAAAGGCUUACCAAGGCAAUGAUGCGUAGCCGAAUUGAGAGGUUGAUCGGCCACAUUGGGACUGAGACACGGCCCAAACUCCUACGGGAGGCAGCAGUAGGGAAUCUUCCACAAUGGGCGAAAGCCUGAUGGAGCAACGCCGCGUGGGUGAAGAAGGUCUUCGGAUCGUAAAACCCUGUUGUUAGAGAAGAAAGUGCGUGAGAGUAACUGUUCACGUUUCGACGGUAUCUAACCAGAAAGCCACGGCUAACUACGUG